CAUGACACAGAAUCAGUAGCAAGAUUUAAAAUAAUAUUUUAAUUAGUAAUGAGAUAUUUACAGUAAUAUUUUAAAAACUUUUGAGCAAUAAGUGUGAGUAGUUAAAUUCCAACAGCUUCUCUGAACUCUAUUGAUUUAUUUUUUGGGGGUUUUAUUUUAAAACGGGGAGUUAUCUGAGAGUAUUAUCGGAUUAUUAACCAGCCUAUGUGAAGUAAUGCAAUAUCUUUGUUUUUCACGCAUUGACAUUACCUUACAUUAUUUUAAUUAACUCCUCACCUGCAGUCCUUAACUGUUUUAUAAACAUCUCAUUAUUUACAUACUGCGAUGCUUCAAGUAAAUUACCAUUACUCUUAUUUUAAUUAGUCCUCUGAUAUCCAAUCAACUUUAUAUGUUUUCUUAUAUGUAUGUAUAUAUAUAUAUAUAUAUAUAUAUAUAUAUGUAUAUGUGUGUGUGUGUGUGUGUGUAUGUAUGUAUGUGUAUAUAUAUAUGUAUGUGUGUGUGUAUAAAUGUAUGUAUGUAUAGAAUAAUUCAUCUACUUAAUUCCAGGAUUUCUUUUUACUGUAAGGUUUGUUGUUUCAUAUUUAAAAUUUAUUACUUCAAGAAAGUAAGUAGCAAAAAGAAUGUUCCUUGACCAAAAGAAAAACAGAAAAAAAAGAUUGGGAGCAGAAAUUUAUUUUUUUUGCCAAAGAGAUCCUUAUUUAUUUUUAAUUUCUCCCAUUUAUCCCUCUAUUGAAAAUGUGA